rnacentral:tRNA from 1 species
GCGGGAGUAGCUUAAGUUAAAAGCUUUGGAUUCUUACUUCAAUGUUGCGGCGUGUUCGCCUCCUGUG